rnacentral:tRNA from 1 species
CCUCUUGUAGCUUAGUGGUCAGAGCAUUGGUGCGUAAAGCCAAAGGUCCCGGGUUCGAUUCCCGACAAGCGUG